CCUACGGGGUGCAGCAGUAGGGAAUUUUGCGCAAUGGGCGAAAGCCUGACGCAGCAACGCCGCGUGAUCGAGACGCCCUUCGGGGUGUAAAGAUCUGUCAGUGGGGACGAAACUUGACGGUACCCACAGAGGAAGCACCGGCUAACUCCGUGCCAGCAGCCGCGGUAAUACGGGGGGUGCAAGCGGUGUCAGGACUCAUUGGUGGUAAAGAGUUCGUAGGUGGUUUCUUAUGUCAGAGGUGAAAGGCUACGGCUCAACCGUAGUAAGGCUUUGAAACGGGGAAACUUGAGUGCAGGAGAGGAGAGUGGAAUUCCUAGUGUAGCGGUGAAAUGCGUAGAUAUUAGGAGGAACACAAGUUGCGAAGGCGGCUCUCUGGACUGUAACUGACACUGAGGCACGAAAGCGUGGGGAGCAAACAGGAUUAGAUACCCGAGUAGUC
rnacentral:rRNA from 1 species